AGGCUUAACACAUGCAAGUCGAGCGCGUAGCAAUACGAGCGGCAGACGGGUGAGUAACGCGUGGGAAUCUACCCUUUUCUACGGAAUAACGCAGGGAAACUUGUGCUAAUACCGUAUACGCCCUUCGGGGGAAAGAUUUAUCGGGAAAGGAUGAGCCCGCGUUGGAUUAGCUAGUUGGUGGGGUAAAGGCCUACCAAGGCGACGAUCCAUAGCUGGUCUGAGAGGA
rnacentral:rRNA from 1 species